rnacentral:tRNA from 1 species
GGCUGUAGUUUAGUGGCAGAACAUUUGCCUAGCAUGCGUGAGGCACUGGGUUUGAUCCUCAGCACCA